rnacentral:rRNA from 1 species
GUGCCAGCAGCCGCGGUAAUACGUGGGGUGCAAGCGUUGUUCGGAAUUACUGGGCGUAAAGCGCGUGUAGGCGGCCAAACGGGUCCGAUGUGAAAGCCCUCGGCUUAACUGAGGAAGUGCGUCGGAAACUAUUUGGCUCGAGUGCAGGAGAGGAGGACGGAAUUCCCAGUGUAGAGGUGAAAUUCGUAGAUAUUGGGAGGAACACCGGUGGCGAAAGCGGUUCUCUGGACUGCAACUGACGCUGAGACGCGAAAGCGUGGGGAUCAAACAGGAUUAGAAACCCCCGUAGUCC